rnacentral:rRNA from 1 species
AAUCAACGCUGGCGGCGUGCCUCAGACAUGCAAGUCGAACGCGAAAUUUCCCUUCGGGGAGAAAGUAGAGUGGCGCACGGGUGAGUAACACGUGGGUAAUUUACCUUCGGGUGGGGAAUAACAGUCGGAAACGAUUGCUAAUACCGCAUGAUGCAGCGGCACCACAUGGUGACAGUUGUUAAAGCGGGGGAUCGCAAGACCUCGCGCCUGAAGAGAAACCCGCGGCAGAUUAGCAGUUGGUAAGGUAAUGGCUUACCAAGGCAACGAUCUGUAGCCGGCCUGAGAGGGCGGUCGGCCACACUGACACUGAAUAACGGGUCAGACUCCUACGGGAGGCAGCAGUCGGGAAUUUUGGGCAA